UACGGAGGGUGCAAGCGUUAAUCGGAAUUACUGGGCGUAAAGCGCACGCAGGCGGUCUGUCAAGUCGGAUGUGAAAUCCCCGGGCUCAACCUGGGAACUGCAUCCGAAACUGGCAGGCUAGAGUCUUGUAGAGGGGGGUAGAAUUCCAGGUGUAGCGGUGAAAUGCGUAGAGAUCUGGAGGAAUACCGGUGGCGAAGGCGGCCCCCUGGACCAAGACUGACGCUCAGGUGCGAAAGCGUGGGGAGCAAACAGGAUUAGAUACCCUGGUAGUCCACGCCGUAAACGAUGUCGACUUGGAGGUUGUGGCCUUGUGGCGUGGCUGCCGGAGCUAACGCGUUAAGUCGACCGCCUGGGGAGUACGGCCGCAAGGUUGAA
rnacentral:rRNA from 1 species